AUCCAUACAGAAGUGUGUGUGUAUUCUAUACUUUUGAAACAACUAAAUCAGACUUCGGAAAAUUUGACAGUAUUAAAGCUACUUUUGAGAAUUUAGAUUUUAGGUCUUCGUUUUACAUGUACCCAGUAAAUAUUUUUGAGUUUUGAACUUUGAUUCUCACAAGCUUACAAUUUGUUUACAAUUUACUCUGCCUCUGGCUCUGCCGUGCUGCACGGCAGAGUUGAUCGGAAUUGUAACAAAUACGCGUACACUUAAAUGGCUUCCUGAAUUUAGUCAAUCAGAUGUGUAAAAAUUACUCGUUUCAAUUUCAUGUUUAUGCUCGAAACUGCUC